GACGAACGCUGGCGGCGUGCUUAACACAUGCAAGUCGAACGAUGAAGCUGGAGCUUGCUCCAGUGGAUUAGUGGCGAACGGGUGAGUAACACGUGAGCAAUCUGCCCUUGACUCUGGGAUAACUGCGGGAAACUGUAGCUAAUACCGGAUACGACACCUUGGGGCAUCCCGGGGUGUGGAAAGAAUUUCGGUCAAGGAUGAGCUCGCGGCCUAUCAGCUUGUUGGUGAGGUAAAGGCGCACCAAGGCGACGACGGGUAGCCGGCCUGCGAGGGUGACCGGCCACACUGGAAAUGGGAGACGGUCCAGACUCCUACGGGAGGAAGCAGUGGGGAAUAUUGCACAAUGGGCGUAAGCCUGAUGCAGCAACGCCGCGUGAGGGAUGACGGCCUUCGGGUUGUAAACCUCUUUUAGCAGGGAAGAAGCGAAAGUGACGGUACCUGCAGAAAAAGCACCGGCUAACUACGUGCCAGCAGCCGCCGUAA
rnacentral:rRNA from 1 species